AAUUGGCUACUCCAGGAGUUGGAAAGAAGAAAAUAUUUCAGGUUAAAUAAUUUGUCCAAAAUUCUGGUCAAUGCCUGCAGCGGGAAUAAAGAUCUUUGUCAGAGCCCAGAAAGGUGCAAAACUUCAGAGAGGCAUCAGAAUCAAAGCUGAACAGUUGGAUUCAAAUUGCAGAGGAAGAAAAGGAACAUCUCGGAGAAUCGCGAGGGAUCUGACUGUCGAUAUUGCUUUCAAUCAGCUUGAGCCCCUGCUGCAUUUUAAGAUGAGUACAGCAAUACCAACCCUGGGCCUUCUCCCGUCUGCUCCGCCAGCGCACUCACCUACAACCAAGGCUGAGAACGGCGAAUUUCCUUCCUGCCUACCUGGAAGAUGUGCAAGUGGUGGAUUUUUCCCGACGUAAUCACUGUCUGGGUCACCUUUCAGAUCCUGGCGGUCUUUAAUCCAACUUCCCAUCUUGCUCGGGACCGCAGUUUCCUCUCCCGACCCCAUUAAGGGUCUAUUAAAAUCGAAGUUCCAAGGAUGAAAAUACCUAGGGAUUCUAAGGAUUUCCCUUACUUUCUUUCCAGCUUCACAGUUCAUCUUAAGAUUUUUUAAAAUGUUUUAUUCAGCACUUUAGAUGUUUGUAUUGGGAGAGCUUCUUGGGAUAUCCAGUCUACCGUUUUGUCCAAAAUGUAGCGCCACCAUGAGUCAAGUUACCUGUCCCCUCUGUGUCUCGUUUCCUCUUCUAUAAAAUGGGGAUAAUAGACUCUGUGAGUUUGUUGUGGGGGUCAGUGAGGGAGGGAGUGAAAGCCCUGGCACUAGUAAGCGCUCAAUAAAUGCUGACCAUUAGCAGCA
rnacentral:lncRNA from 1 species